rnacentral:lncRNA from 1 species
CCGCCACACACUUGCGGUUGUGUCUUCGCUCGGAAACAGACGACACAUCUAGCAGAACAGAAGUCGUUUUCCUUUUCUUUGAACACCCUUGUUCUUCUUGCGAAUCCAGAAAGCCGAGGAGUGCGUCUGUUUCUCUUUCUGAGGACUCUCCGUUGAAAAAAAUUAAAAUGCGCCGCGGCCUCCACGCAACUUUCCGUCUCAAACCCCCCAGCUUGACCGGAAAAGCCCCUUGACUCGACCUCGGUCAUCUCGAUUUCCCACCUUUUCGCUUUCCAGUUUGUCAUCUGUUCGGCUGUCUGUGCCUGCACGAAGGAACGCCGUUGUCAUUUCUGUCAACGAACUCAACAGAACCGAGAUCACGCCCUUGUCCCGAGACGCGGCGCCAUGUGCUUGUGCGCGUGACUUCUCAUUUUGAGGUGAAGUUCAAAGUUCUUCCUGGCAAACUGCCCACACUCUGCACUGCAGUCGCCUUUGAAACAAUUUCGCCUGAACCGUUUUUCUUUUAGGAGGAAUGCCGUCCUUUCCCGGGAGACUCCGGCGACACACACGGCCGUGUAUCCCCGCGGUCUUGCCACUUUCUUAGGCCCCCCAAUGCCUCUCCUUGUUCCUGCUUCAACCCGAGACCGAAAAAACUUCCAAAACUCCUCC